CCUACGGGUGGCAGCAGUGGGGAAUAUUGCACAAUGGGGGAAACCCUGAUGCAGCAACGCCGCGUGAGUGAAGAAGAAGUUCGGUAUGUAAAGCUCUAGCAGCAGGGAAGAAGAAAGACGGUACCGGACGAAGAAGCCCCGGCUAACUACGUGCCAGCAGCCGCGGUAAUACGUAGGGGGCAAGCGUUAUCCGGAUUUACUGGGUGUAAAGGGAGCGUAGACGGCUGUGAAAGUCUGAAGUGAAAGCCCGUGGCUCAACCGCGGAACUGCUUUGGAAACUGUAUCGCUUGAGUACUGGAGCGGCAGGCGUCAUUCCUAUUGUAGCGGUGAACUGCGUAGAUAUUCGGAG
rnacentral:rRNA from 1 species